rnacentral:rRNA from 1 species
UACGAAGGGGGCUAGCGUUGUUCGGAAUUACUGGGCGUAAAGCGCGCGCAGGCGGUCUUCCAAGUCAGUGGUGGAAGCCCGGAGCUCAACUCCGGAAAUGCCAUUGAAACUGUGAGACUGGAGUACGAGAGAGGUGAGUGGAAUUCCCAGUGUAGAGGUGAAACUCGUAGAUAUUGGGAAGAACACCGGUGGCGAAGGCGGCUAUCUGGACGACAACUGACGCUGAGGCGCGAAAGCACGGGGAUCAAACAGG